UCCAAAGCUUUUUAUUUUGCCGCCUAUAACCUUUGGUCUUUCCCUCCCAUUUAUUCCCUGAAAAUAAGAAAACAGACCCAACUAGGAAUAUUUGGAAAGAAUAAAAUAACCAAAAUGACUCUCCUUUCUCAAACUGAUGAUCCAUUUGCAAAAAAUUUCAUCGCCGCCAACCAAGUACUAACUCAUGUAUUUCUCCAUCACGAGCCCCAAUUUAUCGCGAUUUUAACACUGUCGGCCACCAUCUCCAGGUGGUUAGGCUCUGUGCGAAGUAAAGGGAAGCUAUUAAUUCUCUUGUCAAGCAUUUAACCCUUCAAUACCAGGUUCACUAUAUUGACACAUGUGAGAAGAGUGAACUGCACAAGUUGAAGGAUGAACAAGAGUCAUUUGAUUUAUGAACUUUCGGGAGAGCUCUCCAGGAGUUAUAAGAAGAAAUAUAAAGCUUUGAAGUGGGAAAUAAAGAGGGAAAUAGCUCAGAGUGUUGAUGUAAUUUGCUACACAUGUGUUGGUACUGGAGAUCCUAGAUUGGCUAAUUUCAAAUUCCGCUAGGUGCUUAUGAUGAAUCCACUCAGGUUACUGAGCCUGAAUGUCUUAUUCCUUUGGUUCUUGGCACAAAACAGGUUAUUUUUGCCGGUGAUCACUGCCCAGCUUGGACCAGUCAUUAUGUGCAAGAAAGCGACACAAGCUAGACUUGCUCAAUCUCUAUUUGUGCGCCUUGUGUUGUUAAGAGUGAAGCCAAUUAGGUUACAGGUACAAACCGUAUGCAUCUUGCAUUAUCUGAGUUUCCAUCAAAUAGCUUUUAUGAAGUUACAUUCCAAACCAUCAAUGAAAGGCAAUCAACAUGUAUUGAUUUCUCGUAGCUUGUGCCCAACCGUCUCAUGUUCUUCUAUGCUCGGGUCAUACAGUCUGAUGAUCGAUAAUUUAGCGGGCGAAAGAUCUCCAUAUGAUGAACCAUUCCAUAAAUUAUUUGAAGACUAUUAUUUGUUAAGAUUAGUUAUAUAAUGACACUAGCUAUUAUCUUCUAACAAUAUAAGUUUUUUUAA